rnacentral:rRNA from 1 species
UGGGGAAUAUUGCACAAUGGGGGAAACCCUGAUGCAGCGACGCCGCGUGAGCGAAGAAGGUUUUCGAAUCGUAAAGCUCUGUCCUAUGAGAAGAUAAUGACGGUAUCAUAGGAGGAAGCCCCGGCUAAAUACGUGCCAGCAGCCGCGGUAAUACGUAUGGGGCGAGCGUUGUCCGGAAUUAUUGGGCGUAAAGGGUACGUAGGCGGUCUAUUAAGUCAGGUGUGAAAGCGUGAGGCUUAACCUCAUUAAGCACUUGAAACUGAUAGACUUGAGUGAAGGAGAGGAAAGUGGAAUUCCUAGUGUAGCGGUGAAAUGCGUAGAUAUUAGGAGGAAUACCGGUGGCGAAGGCGACUUUCUGGACUUUUACUGACGCUCAGGUACGAAAGCGUUGGGAGCAAACAGG